UACGUAGGUGGCAAGCGUUGUCCGGAAUUAUUGGGCGUAAAGCGCGUGUAGGCGGCCAGAUAAGUCCGCUGUGAAAUCUCGAGGCUCAACUUCGAGCUGUCGGUGGAAACUGUCUGGCUAGAGUCCGGAAGAGGAGAAUGGAAUUCCUGGUGUAGCGGUGAAAUGCGCAGAUAUCAGGAAGAACACCCGUGGCGAAGGCGGUUCUCUGGGACGGUACUGACGCUGAGGAGCGAAAGCGUGGGGAGCAAACAGG
rnacentral:rRNA from 1 species